AUUGAACGCUGGCGGAAUGCUUUACACAUGCAAGUCGAGCGGCAGCGCGGGGGCAACCCUGGCGGCGAGCGGCGAACGGGUGAGUAACAUAUCGGAACGUACCCUGUCGUGGGGGAUAACUAUCCGAAAGGAUAGCUAAUACCGCAUACGCCCUGAGGGGGAAAGCGGGGGAUCGUAAGACCUCGCGUUAUACGAGCGGCCGAUGUCGGAUUAGCUAGUUGGCGGGGUAAUGGCCCACCAAGGCGACGAUCAGUAGCCGGCCUGAGAGGGUGAUCGGCCACACUGGAACUGAGACACGGUCCAGACUCCUACGGGAGGCAGCAGUGGGGAAUAUUGGACAAUGGGGGAAACCCUGAUCCAGCAACGCCGCGUGGAGGAUGAAGGUCUUCGGAUUGUAAACUCCUGUUAGGGGGGACGAAGGGAUGUCGGCAAACAGCCGGCAAACUUGACGGUACCCCCAGAGGAAGCCCCGGCUAACUCUGUG
rnacentral:rRNA from 1 species